GCAGAUGUCAGGCAACAGUGUCUCUUGUGAUGGACACUGAUCAGAAAAACAGGUUUCAAGAGAUAGUCCAAGUGAAUUUAAGUCAGGGAGGAAGUUAAUGGUAAAGUUACUGAAAGCAAUCACUGCUGUACAGUUGGGGGGAUGGUGUCAGAAUACAUUUGGAACAAAUGUUUGACAUAACCAACAAAAAACAGGCAUAGCUGGGCCCCAUGUGAGUUUUAACUUGAAGAAUGUAAGAGGAAUCAAAAGAGAAGUCGAGGGCAAGGACAAAUUCCACCAGGCAGAGUAGAGGAGAAACUGAUUUGGUCUCAAGGAUUCUUGUGAUGGAGAGAGAAAGCUUAAAUUGUACUGAAACAAGUUAAUUUCAAACUAAUGUUUAGUUGGUUCACAAUUGUUUAUUCCAGUAAUUAUAGAAACAAGUAAAAUAGUUCAGUUCAAAAGCUUUAAAAAAAAA